rnacentral:lncRNA from 1 species
CAGUAAUAAGUUUUACAUGCUGUUAUUAACAGAAGACAUUUCUCUUUUUCAAUUUCUUAUUAGCACAUCCGAAAACUUUUCCAUUAGCGAAAGAAUUAUUUGACCUGUAGAAAUUAAUAUGAAGAUCUUGACACGGCGUUGCAAAAGGUUUUGAGCAAUCCUUCAAAUUACUUCCUGGUGAUCAAAGAGCUGACGGAUUUUCGCUGAAAUCAAUUAAGCCUCAUAACUUCAUUAUACCCGGGUACGCAGGCCCGUAUAGAAAGUCAGCUAAUUAAUUCUCACGCACUGUCGCCGUUUAUAAUUACACAACGUUAAAGAGAGUACAUCAUUAACUGUAUAUGUUUCAAGGGUUGCGGUAAUCGAAUGGUUGCGUCAUUGAGAUGUACACAUCCGUAAUGAUUUGUAGGUAUUAAAAAUUGCGUACAGUUCCAUUAGGUCUGUAACAAACUAUUUAUUCAACUAUUUCAAAUUUUAGAACCAGCUUUAACAUCUUUAUUUGCGUGCAGGUUCUACGAGGCCUUCGACAUCAAAGGGUUGAAGGAUUGAAAAUAAGGAGAAAACGUUGUUUUACACAAGAAGAAAGGGGGCAGUAAAGAUCAAGGUUCGUUGAAUUAGAUUCCAUCUGAUUUCGAAGUGCGUGACAUUAACACCUCGCUUCUGGAUCGAGCGCGAUGCUCUCCUCAAUGGAUGCCAGCAUUCUUCUGUUCCAUCUCCACGGCCGUCCUCUGCCCCGUUGUCCUUCCCUCUCUUCGGCGCACAUUGUGUUCGAGACAUUCGUGACAUUUCAUCCUCCUCGAUCUUAAAGUGCUAUGCUAAGAGAUCGUUCUUAAGCGGGUUACGUGAUCCGUAAUCGACCGCCUUGGUUCUACCAUCUUGAGCUUGAAACAUUUCUGGAGUUUUCCUUUUUCCUUCUUUUGAACGAGGUCUGGGGACACUCUUGUUCCACUUAUUCGCCUCUGAAGUUUCAAGCUCUCAGAUCACGUCAUGCAGUCACAAAAUCUCCAGGUUUCAAAGUUAAAAAAUUUUGAAAUCUCAAAGUGUCAAAUCAUAACCUUCAAUUUUUAUAUAUAACCUCUUAUGAACCUUCGUUUGUAACCUCUGAUCUGUGCAACGCCAUGUAUCUUAUAAUAUACGGUGUAUUUUUCUCUAAUCGCUAAUUUAAUUCAAUGAUUGCAGGAUGAAGAAUAAAAAAGAAGAAAAUUGGUGGCCAUCAUUGAUCCUCCGUUCCCCGUGAAAUUUGAUAUUUAAUAAAUCUGACCGCGUCAACGCUUGCAGAGAACGUCGAAUAUCCCCGUAUUCAGUUUCACCUCUGUUUCCCAUAAAUUGUCGUGCGUCCACGUGCCGAUAAAUUCACCAGGAUAAAUUCAUGGGGGCUGACCGAAGCGCGUGUUAGCGCGGCCGUAAAGCAAUUCAAGCGACGAGGAUGAUGCACCGGUGCGUGACGCGUGUAACGACGAUUUUACAAACUUGGAAAUGUCGGUGAGAUUUUGCGUGAUAAUACGAGGAGAAACUGAAGAAAUUGUUAACAAUUGCUUGAGUAAACAGUUAAUUACCAUCUUGAUACAUUGAAAAGAGAAUAAUGACAAGUAACAGAAUUAACUGAGAACUACAGUCAGAAGGAAAAAAGGGACUUUUUAUUGAGGGUAUUAAAGAUUCCAGAUGAAGAAGAAUGCAAAUUGUCCGAGAAGAAAUGCAAUAAAGAGGGAAAGGAGAGAAACCCUUGAAUAUAAAAUGCAAAGUAGAAGAAAAGUUAUCCUGGUUAUACCAGAGACAGAAGCGGAAUGAAAUGAAAGAAAACGAAAAUUAAUUGAUGAAAAAGAAAGUUAUCCUUUGAAAUGUUAAAAUUAUAAGAAACCCAGAAACACAUAAAACAAAAAGGAAAAGGAAGUCCAUUUGAACGAUUGCGUAACUUGAAUUACCAUAUUAUAUUUUAUCGUCAUUAAAUUACACGAAUUCGUUUGAAUACGAAUUCCAUUUUCAUUGUUCCCAAUUCCAAAAGUCUCAUUAACUCAGUGGCACAGACCACCGGAGGACGUUCGUAAAACAAACUUUUACGUCAUUUCCUUGAACGUUCCGUUAAAUUAAAUGGUCGUAUAAAUUCGAAUCCGGUUUACGCAAUCGUUGUUUUGAAAAAUGCAAGAAAAAAAGAACGAGAAAGAGAAGAAGAAAAGGGAACCGACU